AUGGGCCAUGGAAGAGAGGAGGGAAAGCAGAGGGAGUGCAGUGCCAAGGAAAUGCAGCAGGAAAGGUUGGAAAUAGCGUCGCUCGAGCGGGGAAGGGAAGGAGAGACGACCCGUCGCCGUCGGGACACCGUUGCCGAGGGCUGCGUGUCCGACACCCUUGAGACGCUCUUUCUUUCCGAGGCCACUACGGGGAGGCCUGUGCGCUUGCGCGUGCUCAUGUACGACCGGCAACUCCCGUGGGCGGGCUGCAUGGCGCGCGCCGCCGGCGUGCUGACGGCCACGCUCUUCUCGCAGCUCUGCUCGGUGGGCGUCAUCUACAGGAAGGUCUAUGCCGGCCGCUUCGACCCGUCGGUCAUGGAAGGGGGCGCGCUGCGGGGCCUGCUGAGUGGUGGAAGUGUCAUCAUUUGUGGCAGCACCGGAGUCAUACCGGUUGUUGCUGGAUGUAGUGGUGGGCCCGUUUGA
rnacentral:rRNA from 1 species